rnacentral:misc_RNA from 1 species
UUUCCGUAGGUGAACCUGCGGAAGGAUCAUUACGAGAUUGCGUGCAAGCGCAAGUUCAACCCUGAGUUCACAAUGGUAGCUUUGGCGAUCCGCAGUUGAUCGACUCCACUGAUGUUUAUGAGUGAGUGAUAGCCAAAGGAAUAAACUCCAAGUUUGUGUAGUCAAAAUAAAAACAUAAAUAAAACUUUCAACAACGGAUCUCUUGGUUCUGGUGUCGAUGAAGAACGCAGC